rnacentral:tRNA from 1 species
UGGGUUGUGGCUUAGUGGUAAAGCACUUGCUUAGUAUGUGUGAGGCACUGGGUUCAAUUCUCAGCACUGCAU